AAGUCCUCUAUCAUAAUCUCUGCUAGAGAUUAUGAUUCCCUCUUUUUUUUUCCUUUAGCAUGAGUACCUAAAACCCCAAGAAAAAUCCAACUCAAUGACCAGAGGAACCAAGCAAGAGGAAGUCCUGCUGUGUAAAUAGUGGAGAGAAAAUACGUUUUGUUUUGUUUUGUUUUUCCUCUCUCUCUCUCUCUUUUCUCCUGCUGCCUCACUGUGAAGGCGUCACCAAUUGUGUGAACCGCAUGACAUCAUAAGAGGCUAAAAUUUUGAGAAGACUCUUUCUGGCUGCAGAAACCAUAAAAAGGGACAUCUUGAGAGCUGGAGAGUAUAAAAGAAAUCACAAAAAGAAGAGCUGGAAAAAGGAAACUUGGUUGGUUGCCUGCUUAAACAGAUAAACAAAAUCAACAUUUCUCCACAGAAUUUUAACAGGACCUUGAGCCUCACCACAUAAUGUUUGAUAUGGUUUGGCUGUGUCCCCACCCAAAUCUCAUCUUGAAUUGUAGCUCUCAUAAUUCCCACAUGUUGUGGGAGGGACCCAGUGGGAGAUAAUUGAAUCAUGGGGGUGGUUUCCUCCAUACUGUUCUCAAGGUAGUGAAUAUUGUACAAGGCACUAGGUAAUAAAGUUUACGGUCUUUUUAACAUUAAAAGUGAAAAGUAAAAUGGCUAAAUUAUAGUAGCCUAAUCAUUUCAUGCCAUUACUGAGGAUUGACAGGUUGGUUGUUUUAACAGCUGUACAAUGCUUAAGCUCUAAGGAUUCUAAAUCUCAAAUAAUAAAAAGAAUAACACUUUGCAUGAAUGUUUUUAUGAAUAUAUCUCAGACAUACUUUCUCACAGGCACUCUUUGUUAAAGAUAAUUAUUAUGUUUCAAUCAGGAGCCACAGAGUAAGCCACCAUGCCCAGCCCAUGAAACAUUUAAAUAUUACUUAUGUACCACUCUACGCAUCCAGUUUAAUAAUCUGAGUGAUCAUAGGUAAUUGAGUGCUCCCUUGAACAAUAAGCAUCAUUUUUUAUGUGCUGCGAUAGUUAUCACAGAUGCUUCCAGCCACUUAAUCCCUGCGGUGUGAAGGUUACAUUUCAGAUUGAGGUUUCCAGUAAAGGUAUAAGAAAAUCUUAAAUGAAUACCCAAAGCAUUAUUUAUUUUUUUUUUAGAAGCCAAACUGAAUUUGUGGAAGAAAAAUAAGUCAGCGUUUAAUGGAUGGAACAGAGAGUGGAAACAUCUGACAGAACAGUAGGAAACUUUGUUCUGUUUUGAACGCCUCACCACUACUCAUACCAUCUGUCAUGCAUUUCUCAUGAAAUAAACAAUUUUCAGAAUUUUUUUGUCCAGGGAAGAGACAUUUUGUGUUUUAUUGAUUUAUUUAUCCUAUGUAGACUUAAGGUAAUGACAUUUAAGAAAAUAACUUUUGAAGGAGAUACUUUUAUCAAAACAGGUAGUACUUGUUUUAUUUGAAAGCCUUUCUCAAGGACAUGAGAUGGGGAUACACAUUAUAAUUCAUAGAUUGAAUGGGAAAUGUGGGGGGCGGCUUGGAAAGAGAGGAAGUGAUGCCGAGAGCAAAUACUGAAUUUCCUGCCGUUUUUAUUUCCCAAAAUCAGAGUGGCUGAGAAAGGGCUGGCUGAGAGAAGGAGCUGGGGGAAAGAAAAGGAAGGAUGACUUUUCUCCAGGGCUGGGUUGGGGGGGGUCUCCUUCAUAAAAUUUUUGAACUGUCGCCACAAUCUGGCAAUAUUUUUAUGCCAGAGGAAAGAGGACAUUCUCCUCGUUAUUUACGGUUUUCAUCGGAUGUCUCAGUUGAUUGUACAAGUUUCUUCCGAUCAUUCCAUGUGUGAAAAUUAGCUUUUCUUAAAUAGUUAUCUUAAUAGUCCAGGGCGUUUCCAUAACAGUCCAAUAACACCCUUGACGUUGAAU
rnacentral:lncRNA from 1 species